rnacentral:tRNA from 1 species
UCCGUAUGUCUCAUGGGAAACACGGACUGUUAAUCCGCAGGUCCCUGGUUCGAGCCCAGGUCGGGGAGCCA